GCCUCAGUAACGGCGAGUGAAGCGGCAACAGCUCAAAUUUGAAAUCUGGCCCUCUCAGGGUCCGAGUUGUAAUUUGGAGAAGAUGCUUCGGGUGCGGCCCCGGUCUAAGUUCCUUGGAACAGGACGUCACAGAGGGUGAGAAUCCCGUACGUGCCCGGUGGCCGCCCUAUGUGAAGCUCUUUCGACGAGUCGAGUUGUUUGGGAAUGCAGCUCAAAAUGGGUGGUAAAUUUCAUCUAAAGCUAAAUACUGGCCAGAGACCGAUAGCGCACAAGUAGAGUGAUCGAAAGAUGAAAAGCACUUUGGAAAGAGAGUUAAACAGUACGUGAAAUUGUUGAAAGGGAAGCGCUUGCAACCAGACUUGCGCGCGGUCGAUCAUCCGGUGCUCGCACCGGUGCCACUCGGCCGCGGCGCAGGCCAGCAUCGGCCUGGGUGGCUGGACAAAGGCCUCGGGAAUGUGGCUCCCUCCGGGGAGUGUUAUAGCCCGAGGCGCAAUGCAGCCCACCUGGACCGAGGACCGCGCUCCGGCUAGGAUGCUGGCGUAAUGGUUGCAAGCGACCCGUCUUGAAACACGGACCAAGGAGUCUAACAUCUAUGCGAGUGUUUGGGUGUCAAACCCAUACGCGUAAUGAAAGUGAACGGAGGUGAGAACCCUGAAGGGCGCAUCAUCGACCGAUCCUGAUGUCUUCGGAUGGAUUUGAGUAAGAGCAUAGCUGUUGGGACCCGAAAGAUGGUGAACUAUGCCUGAAUAGGGUGAAGCCAGAGGAAACUCUGGUGGAGGCUCGCAGCGGUUCUGACGUGCAAAUCGAUCGUCAAAUUUGGCAUAGGGCGAAAGACU
rnacentral:rRNA from 1 species